CGGGGCAGAUAGCGGGUACAAUUUUAUCCAGUAGGUCGGGUUGCGGAUAGACACUAUCCGUACCCGACCAGUUGUCAUCCCUACUUAUCUGAGUUUAUCUCUCUUCUUCCAAUAUCUUGUCAAAUCUUCUUCUGUAAAGUCCAAGUCCAAGUAGUGUGAGUACUUCUCAAAGGCACUAUGACACUAAAGUCACUUUUCAG
rnacentral:lncRNA from 1 species